UACGAAGGGGGCUAGCGUUGCUCGGAAUGACUGGGCGUAAAGGGCGCGUAGGCGGAUUGUACAGUCAGGCGUGAAAUUCCUGGGCUCAACCUGGGGGCUGCGUUUGAUACGUAUGGUCUUGAGUUCGGAAGAGGGUCGUGGAAUUCCCAGUGUAGAGGUGAAAUUCGUAGAUAUUGGGAAGAACACCGGUGGCGAAGGCGGCGACCUGGUCCGAUACUGACGCUGAGGCACGAAAGCGUGGGGAGCGAACAGG
rnacentral:rRNA from 1 species